rnacentral:rRNA from 1 species
UACGAAGGGGGCUAGCGUUGCUCGGAAUCACUGGGCGUAAAGCGCACGUAGGCGGAUUGUUAAGUCAGGGGUGAAAUCCUGGAGCUCAACUCCAGAACUGCCUUUGAUACUGGCGAUCUUGAGUCCGGGAGAGGUGAGUGGAACUGCGAGUGUAGAGGUGAAAUUCGUAGAUAUUCGCAAGAACACCAGUGGCGAAGGCGGCUCACUGGCCCGGUACUGACGCUGAGGUGCGAAAGCGUGGGAGCAA